ensembl:snoRNA U8 U8 small nucleolar RNA
UCAUCAGGUCGGAUCAUCCUUACCUGUUUCUCUACUCAGAGGGCAGAUAGAACAUGAUGAAUGGAGCUUGCAUGAUUUGUGAUUAAUGUCUCUGCGUGGUUAGGGUGCACGCCACCCUAAUAACUCCUAUCUCAU